rnacentral:rRNA from 1 species
CAUGGCAGACGGGUGAGUAACACGUGGGAACGUACCUCUUGGUUCGUAACAACACAGGGAAACUUGUGCUAAUACCGGAUAAGCCCUUACGGGGAAAGAUUUAUCGCCGAGAGAUCGGCCCGCGUCUGAUUAGCUAGUUGGUAGGGUAAUGGCCUACCAAGGCGACGAUCAGUAGCUGGUCUGAGAGGAUGAUCAGCCACAUUGGGACUGAGACACGGCCCAAACUCCUACGGGAGGCAGCAGUGGGGAAUAUUGGACAAUGGGGGCAACCCUGAUCCAGCCAUGCCGCGUGAGUGAUGAAGGCCCUAGGGUUGUAAAGCUCUUUUGUGCGGGAAGAUAAUGACGGUACCGCAAGAAUAAGCNCCGGCUA